GGUUGUUGGUGGUGCAGAGUCUGGUUGGAGGCCUGUAUCCAGCGGUGUUCCCCAGGGGUCGGUGCUGGGUCCGGUCUUGUUCAACAUCUUCAUCUAUGACCUUAAUGAGGGGAUAGUGGCCACCCUCAGCAAGUUUGCUGAUGAUACGAAGUUGGGAGGAUUGGCUGACACACCCGAUGGCUGUGCUGCCAUUCAGCAAGACCUGGACAGGCUGGAGAGCUGGGCAGUAAGAAACCAGAUGAGGUUUAACAAAAGCAAGUGUAGAGUCUUGCACCUAGGGAGGAAUAAUUGCAUGCACCAAUACAGGCUGGGGGAUGACCUGCUGGAGAGGAGCUCUGCAGAGAGGGACCUGGGUGUCCUGGUGGACGACAGGUUGGCCAUGAGCCAGCAGUGUGCCCUUGUGGCCAAAAAGGCCAAUGGCAUUCUGGGGUGCAUUAAAAAGAGCGUGGCCAGCAGGUCGAGGGAGGUGAUCCUCCCCUUCUACUCUGCCCUGGUAAGGCCUCAUCUGGAGUACUGUGUCCAGUUCUGGGCUCCCCAGUACAAAAAAGACAGGGAUCUCUUGGAAAGAGUCCAGCGGAGAGCCACAAAGAUGGUGAAGGGCCUGGAACAUCUCCCCUAUGAAGAAAGGCUAAGAGAACUGGGUCUGUUCAGCCUUGAGAAGAGAAGACUGAGAGGGGACCUGAUCCAGGUCUAUAAAUAUCUAAGGUGUGGGGGGCAAAGUGGCGAGGCCAGACUCUUUUCAGCAGUGUGCGGAGACAGGACAAGGGGAAACGGCCAGAAGCUGGAGCACAGGAAGUUCCGCACCAAUGUGCGCAAGAACUUCUUUACGGUGAGGGUGACGGAGCACUGGAACAGGCUGCCCAGGGAGGUUGUGGAGUCCCCCUCUCUGGAGAUAUUCAAGACCCGCCUGGACGCCUACCUGUGCGACCUGGUGUAGGGAGCCUGCUUUGGCAGGGGGGGUGGGCUCGAUGAUCUCUGGAGGUCCCUUCCAACCCCUACAAU
rnacentral:lncRNA from 1 species